rnacentral:rRNA from 1 species
GCAGAACGCGAAGAACCUUACCAAGACUUGACAUGCCCUCUAUGGAUUCCCGAAAAGGAAUCCUUCACUUCGGGUGGGAGGUGCACAGGUGCUGCAUGGCUGUCGUCAGCUCGUGUCGUGAGAUGUUGGGUUAAGUCCCGCAACGAGCGCAACCCUCAUUCUCUGUUGCUAACAGGUUAAGCUGAGCACUCUGAGAAAACUGCCGGUGAUAAGCCGGAGGAAGGUGGGGAUGACGUCAAGUCCUCAUGGCCCUUACGUCUUGGGCUACACACGUGUUACAAUGGCGGUGACAAUGGGCUGCAAACUCGCGAGAGUAAGCUAAUCCCUAAAAGCCGCCUCAGUUCGGAUCGUACUCUGCAACUCGAGUACGUGAAGUUGGAAUCGCUAGUAAUCGUAGAUCAGAACGCUACGGUGAAUACGUUCCCGGGUCUUGUACACACCG